rnacentral:tRNA from 1 species
CCUCUCAUGGCGUAGUGGUUAACGCGCCCCAACUAGAGAUCCGGGGAGUCGUGAGUUCGAUUCUCACUGAGAAGA